rnacentral:rRNA from 1 species
GAUGAACGCUGGCGGCGUGCCUAAUACAUGCAAGUCGAGCGAACAGACGAGGAGCUUGCUCCUCUGACGUUAGCGGCGGACGGGUGAGUAACACGUGGAUAACCUACCUAUAAGACUGGGAUAACUUCGGGAAACCGGAGCUAAUACCGGAGAAUAUAUUGAACCGCAUGGUUCAAUAGUGAGAGACGGUUUUGCUGUCACUUAUAGAUGGAUCCGCGCCGCAUUAGCUAGUUGGUAAGGUAACGGCUUACCAAGGCGACGAUGCGUAGCCGACCUGAGAGGGUGAUCGGCCACACUGGAACUGAGACACGGUCCAGACUCCUACGGGAGGCAGCAGUAGGGAAUCUUCCGCAAUGGGCGAAAGCCUGACGGAGCAACGCCGCGUGAGUGAUGAAGGUCUUCGGAUCGUAAAACUCUGUUAUUAGGGAAGAACAAAUGUGUAAGUAACUAUGCACGUCUUGACGGUACCUAAUCAGAAAGCCACGGCUAACUACGUG